AAUUGGAAUUGAAUCUGAGUAGGUACGACUAAGAGGUGAAUAUUGUCCAAUGCUGACUAACGGGCCAGGUUGAUUCUGUAAGAGCGGUUGAGGAUUGCCUCAGAAACAGUGCAAGUUGGAUUAUCGGAGUCUAGAGCUCUAUUGGCGGCAGAGAUAACUCCCCUUCCAGUCUAGAAUUCUGUCAGAUACUGGGUGUAGGUCUUUCAAUAAUUUUGGCUGGUUUCUGGUUCCAAUGUCAGUCGUUUUUUCUCUGAUUUUUCACCGUCUUUUCAUUUCUCUGAUUUUCUCUGAUUCUCUGAUUCUCUGAUUUUCUCUGAUUUUCUCACCAUCGUUCUUGCCCAUCGCCAGUUCAGUCAUGUCACCAUCACUUGCGAAAAUAAAAUAGACCCACAAAAGGAACACACAAACAAACGAACUAAACCCCCCCAAAUCAGCCAAUUUCGGACCUCGAAGUUCGUCAUCAACCGCGAUGAUGGUCAACUAUGAAUACUCUCUCUCGCUAUAGGUUCCGACGAGAUUGGCCGAGUUGUGGCGACUGUUGGACUAAGAUGACAAACAGCGACGAUAAAAUGACGAUAAGAAACCCCAAAACGACUAAAGAAAACGAAUUUCGCGAUAUUUCGCUCGAUUGACAUCAAUGGGCAAUCUGCGGUGGAUUCAACACACGAAUCUCCAGCCAAACUGCGUUGUGGACGGAAGCGAAUCAUACAACAGGCGCAAAGGGUACAAAAGGAUGUUGUCAGGAUGUAUAACGGGUGCCAUUGGAGGUCUCUGGGGAGAACCGAACGGCCAGAAGGUCUCACAGAAGUCACAGGAGUCACAGGAGUCGCAGGAGUCACAGGAGUUACAGGAGUUACAGGAGUCACCGAAGUCGCAGGAGUCGCAGGAGUCACAGGAGUCGCAGGAGUCACAGGAGUCACAGGAGUCUCUAGAUCUCAAGAGUGUCGUCUGAGGGCCUCGGAGUGCUCUAGGGUUCUGGAAUGAUGUCCCUCAGUCUCUCCGGUCGUUCUUCAGUCUCUCCAGAGGACUGCUGGAGUCGUGCUGGAGUCCUGAGUCAUUGUCAGAGACCUCUAACCCACAUCCAUUGCUGAAACUAUGAGGAGAGUCGACCUAAGACGCCAGAGGGUAAUACAGAUACAGCCAGGGGUGAUAGCGAUACGACCUCGGCUUAUGCUCCACUCCUGGAUCUACUCCCAGACCUCCUCCCAGAUCUACUCCAGAUCUACUCAGACUCUGGUAGAACCCAUUCCUGGACUCACUAUCAGUUUCAAAAGAAAACACCGCGAUGACCCACACACUCCAGUCACUCCAGGUGACUCCAGUUGCCCCGGUUCCCCCAUUCGUUCCAGAUCUUCCAAAAACCAUGAAAAAUUCGAGAGAAAUCAGAAGACGGGAAAAUACGAAUGAAAUGGACAAUCAGAUCGGAAAAUAUGUGCUUGAAUUGCCCCUUUUUGUUAAAUUGUGCUUA
rnacentral:misc_RNA from 1 species